GACGAACGCUGGCGGCGUGCCUAAUACAUGCAAGUAGAACGCACAGUUUAUACCGUAGCUUGCUACACCAUAGACUGUGAGUUGCGAACGGGUGAGUAACGCGUAGGUAACCUGCCUGGUAGCGGGGGAUAACUAUUGGAAACGAUAGCUAAUACCGCAUAAUAUUGAUUAUUGCAUGAUAAUUGAUUGAAAGAUGCUAUUGCAUCACUACCAGAUGGACCUGCGUUGUAUUAGCUAGUAGGUGAGGUAACGGCUCACCUAGGCGACGAUACAUAGCCGACCUGAGAGGGUGAUCGGCCACACUGGGACUGAGACACGGCCCAGACUCCUACGGGAGGCAGCAGUAGGGAAUCAUCGGCAAUGGACGAAAGUCUGACCGAGCAACGCCGCGGGAGUGAAGAAGGUUUUCGGAUCGUAAAGCUCUGUUGUAAGAGAAGAACGGGUGUGAGAGUGGAAAGUUCACACUGUGACGGUAUCUUACCAGAAAGGGACGGCUAACUACGUG
rnacentral:rRNA from 1 species